UACGUAGGUGGCAAGCGUUGUCCGGAUUUAUUGGGCGUAAAGCGAGCGCAGGCGGUUUUUUAGGUCUGAUGUGAAAGCCUUCGGCUUAACCGGAGAAGGGCAUCGGAAACCGGGAGACUUGAGUGCAGAAGAGGACAGUGGAACUCCAUGUGUAGCGGUGAAAUGCGUAGAUAUAUGGAAGAACACCAGUGGCGAAGGCGGCUGUCUGGUCUGUAACUGACGCUGAGGCUCGAAAGCAUGGGUAGCGAAC
rnacentral:rRNA from 1 species